UGACUUCUGAAUCACUCUAUGUUGCAGACCGAAAUUUAAUUGGCUAAAUCCACUCGUCGCUCACGUACUCAGUGGCUCUACAGAGGGGCUGAUCUUCGAGCGACCCAAGAUACCGCCUCCGAAAGAAAGUCUACGAUAUGAUUGGUGGAAACUUCAUGACAGCUUGGAGAGCAUAUCAGCAGCGAAGGAAGGUGGGCUCUUGCUCAGACGGCCCAAUUACAUAAGGGGCAGUUCUAUAAACGCUUGAGCCUCAGCUGCGGUCGUUCUUUUGGGAGUGAGUUAGUACCGUGCGUUGGCCUUUGUCCUGGCUCUGUGAAGCACGUUUUACCGGCCUUGGUCGCCAAGACGAACUGGAAGGGCCUCUCAACUGCAGGCCAACCUUCUUUGAGGCGGUGGUCUGGGUCCUGCUUUUCCCCUAAAUCUUCUGGCUCCUUUUUUGCAGGGCAUGGUGAGUCGGCGGCUUCCAGAAUCAACGGGCAGAAGGGUUUGCUGGUAAGCUGCGUAUCUGUAUUCUAAUUGCUUAAGCAAUAAAGAGAAAAUGCAAUCGCA